GGGAGGGGGGGGUGCUAUAAUGCAGUCGAGCGGACCGACGGGAGCUUGCUCCCUUAGGUCAGCGGCGGACGGGUGAGUAACACGUGGGUAACCUGCCUGUAAGACUGGGAUAACUCCGGGAAACCGGGGCUAAUACCGGAUGCUUGAUUGAACCGCAUGGUUCAAUCAUAAAAGGUGGCUUUUAGCUACCACUUACAGAUGGACCCGCGGCGCAUUAGCUAGUUGGUGAGGUAACGGCUCACCAAGGCGACGAUGCGUAGCCGACCUGAGAGGGUGAUCGGCCACACUGGGACUGAGACACGGCCCAGACUCCUACGGGAGGCAGCAGUAGGGAAUCUUCCGCAAUGGACGAAAGUCUGACGGAGCAACGCCGCGUGAGUGAUGAAGGUUUUCGGAUCGUAAAACUCUGUUGUUAGGGAAGAACAAGUACCGUUCGAAUAGGGCGGCACCUUGACGGUACCUAACCAGAAAGCCACGGCUAACUACGUGCCAGCAGCCGCGGUAAUACGUAGGUGGCAAGCGUUGUCCGGAAUUAUUGGGCGUAAAGCGCGCGCAGGCGGUUUCUUAAGUCUGAUGUGAAAGCCCCCGGCUCAACCGGGGAGGGUCAUUGGAAACUGGGGAACUUGAGUGCAGAAGAGGAGAGUGGAAUUCCACGUGUAGCGGUGAAAUGCGUAGAGAUGUGGAGGAACACCAGUGGCGAAGGCGACUCUCUGGUCUGUAACUGACGCUGAGGCGCGAAAGCGUGGGGAGCGAACAGGAUUAGAUACCCUGGUAGUCCACGCCGUAAACGAUGAGUGCUAAGUGUUAGAGGGUUUCCGCCCUUUAGUGCUGCAGCAAACGCAUUAAGCACUCCGCCUGGGGAGUACGGUCGCAAGACUGAAACUCAAAGGAAUUGACGGGGCCCGCACAAGCGGUGGAGCAUGUGUUUAAUUCGAAGCAACGCGAAGAACCUUACCAGGUCUUGACAUCCUCUGACAACCCUAGAG
rnacentral:rRNA from 1 species